ACUGCUGCUAAUCGUUUCACCUAAAAUCUGUUGAAUCGUUGGCGCUAACUAGCAAUCUCUCGAGCAGUUAGAAAUAUAUAACUAAUUCAUUUAAAGCGUACAGAUCUAUCAUACACGGGUCUCAAUUAUGAUUUGACCCAACAAGCCUCGGGCUACUUCGAAUAUGACUCAGUCCAAUCUGGCUCUCCACCAUCUCGAAUGUGAUUCGAUCCAACCUGACUUUCCGCCGCAGAGCAAAAAGCUGCCCCUUUAAGCCAACAAAAUAUUCUAAUCUUAAA
rnacentral:lncRNA from 1 species